UAGCGGGUCUGAGAGGAUGAUCCGCCACACUGGUACUGAGACACGGACCAGACUCCUACGGGAGGCAGCAGUGGGGAAUAUUGCACAAUGGGCGAAAGCCUGAUGCAGCAACGCCGCGUGGAGGAUGACACAUUUCGGUGCGUAAACUCCUUUUAUAUAAGAAGAUAAUGACGGUAUUAUAUGAAUAAGCACCGGCUAACUCCGUGCCAGCAGCCGCGGUAAUACGGAGGGUGCAAGCGUUAUUCGGAAUCACUGGGCGUAAAGGGUGCGUAGGCGGUUUGGAAAGUCAGGUGUGAAAGCCUACAGCUUAACUGUAGAACUGCACUUGAAACUUCCAGACUAGAAUACUGAAGGGGCAGAUGGAAUUAGUGGUGUAGGGGUAAAAUCCGUAAUAUCACUAGGAAUACCGAAAGCGAAAGCGAUCUGCUGGGAAGUUAUUGACGCUGAGGCACGAAAGCGUGGGGAGCAAACGGGAUUAGAUACCCCGGUAGUCCACGCCCUAAACGAUGAAUGCUAGUCGUCGGAAAGCUCGUCUUUUCGGUGAUGCAGUUAACACAUUAAGCAUUCCGCCUGGGGAGUACGGUCGCAAGAUUAAAACUCAAAGGAAUAGACGGGGACCCGCACAAGUGGUGGAGCAUGUGGUUUAAUUCGAAAAUACGCGAAGAACCUUACCUAGCCUUGACAUUGAUAGAAUCUGGUAGAGAUAUCGGAGUGCCUGCUUGCAGGAACUUGAAAACAGGUGCUGCACGGCUGUCGUCAGCUCGUGUCGUGAGAUGUUGGGUUAAGUCCCGCAACGAGCGCAACCCUCGUCGUUAGUUGCUAACAGUUCGGCUGAGCACUCUAGCGAGACUGCCUUCGCAAGGAGGAGGAAGGUGAGGACGACGUCAAGUCAUCAUGGCCCUUAUGGCUAGGGCUACACACGUGCUACAAUGGGGCGUACAGAGAGUUGCAAUACCGCGAGGUGGAGCCAAUCUCAUAAAGCGUCUCUCAGUUCGGAUUGAUCUCUGCAACUCGAGAUCAUGAAGCUGGAAUCACUAGUAAUCGUAGAUCAGCAAUGCUACGGUGAAUACGUUCCCGGGUCUUGUACUCACCGCCCGUCACACCAUGGGAGUUGAUUUCACCCGAAAUCGGGAAGCCAACCUUCGGGGGGCUACCGCCUACGGUGGAAUUAGCGACUGGGGUGAAGUCGUAACAAGGUAACCGUAGGAGAACCUGC
rnacentral:rRNA from 1 species